AACGAACGCUGGCGGCAUGCCUAACACAUGCAAGUCGAACGAGACCUUCGGGUCUAGUGGCGCACGGGUUCGUAACGCGUGGGAACCUUCACUUAGGUUCGGAAUAACUCCCCGAAAGGGGUGCUAAUACCGGAUAAUGUCUUCGGACCAAAGAUUUAUCGCCUUUGGAUGGGCCCGCGUUGGAUUAGCUAGUUGGUAGGGUAAAAGCCUACCAAGGCGACGAUCCAUAGCUGGUCUGAGAGGAUGAUCAGCCACACUGGGACUAAGACACGGCCCAGACUCCUACGGGAGGCAGCAGUGGGGGACAUUAGACAAUGGGCGGAAGCCUGAUCCAGCAAUGACGGGUGAGUGAUGAAGGCCUUAGGGUUGAAAAGCUCUUUUACCCGGGAUGAUAAUGACAGUACCGGGAGAAUAAGCUCCGGCUAACUCCGUG
rnacentral:rRNA from 1 species